rnacentral:hammerhead_ribozyme from 1 species
AUUAGGCUGACGAAUCCCAAAUAGGACGAAAUGCGCAUUCUUGGU